GACCAUGGCUCAGGAUGAACGCUAGCUACAGGCUUAACACAUGCAAGUCGAGGGGCAGCAUGGUCUUAGCUUGCUAAGGCCGAUGGCGACCGGCGCACGGGUGAGUAACGCGUAUCCAACCUGCCUUACACUCUUGGACAGCCUUCUGAAAGGGAGAUUAAUACAAGAUGUUAUCAUGAGUAAGCAUUUUCGCAUGAUUAAAGGUUUACCGGUGUAAGAUGGGGAUGCGUUCCA
rnacentral:rRNA from 1 species